AACGAACGCUGGCGGCAGGCUUAACACAUGCAAGUCGAACGCGUGUAGCAAUACACGAGUGGCGCACGGGUGAGUAACGCGUGGAUAUCUGCCUUUUGGUUCGGAAUAACUCCGGGAAACUGGAGCUAAUACCGGAUGGUUCCUACGGGAUAAAGAUUUAUCGCCAAAAGAUGAGUACGCGGACGAUUAGCUAGUUGGUGAGGUAAUGGCUCACCAAGGCGACGAUCGUUAGCUGGUCUGAGAGGACGAUCAGCCACACUGGGACUGAGACAAGGCCCAGACUCCUACGGGAGGCAGCAGUGGGGAAUAUUGGACAAUGGGGGCAACCCUGAUCCAGCCAUGCCGCGUGAGUGAUGAAGGCCUUCGGGUUGUAAAGCGCUUUUGGCGGGGACGAUGAUGACGGUACCCGCAGAAUAAGCCCCGGCUAACUUCGUGCCAGCAGCCGCAGUAAUAC
rnacentral:rRNA from 1 species